rnacentral:rRNA from 1 species
CACCUACGGGGGGCUGCAGUGGGGAAUAUUGCACAAUGGGCGCAAGCCUGAUGCAGCCAUGCCGCGUGUAUGAAGAAGGCCUUCGGGUUGUAAAGUACUUUCAGCGGGGAGGAAGGGAGUAAAGUUAAUACCUUUACUCAUUGACGUUACCCGCAGAAGAAGCACCGGCUAACUCCGUGCCAGCAGCCGCGGUAAUACGGAGGGUGCAAGCGUUAAUCGGAAUUACUGGGCGUAAAGCGCACGCAGGCGGUUUGUUAAGUCAGAUGUGAAAUCCCCGGGCUCAACCUGGGAACUGCAUCUGAUACUGGCAAGCUUGAGUCUCGUAGAGGGGGGUAGAAUUCCAGGUGUAGCGGUGAAAUGCGUAGAGAUCUGGAGGAAUACCGGUGGCGAAGGCGGCCCCCUGGACGAAGACUGACGCUCAGGUGCGAAAGCGUGGGGAGCAAACAGGAUUAGAUACCCGAGUAGUC